GUGGGGAAUUUUGGACAAUGGGCGCAAGCCUGAUCCAGCAAUGCCGCGUGCAGGAAGAAGGCCUUCGGGUUGUAAACUGCUUUUGUACGGAACGAAACGGUCCGGGUUAAUACCCUGGGCUAAUGACGGUACCGUAAGAAUAAGCACCGGCUAACUACGUGCCAGCAGCCGCGGUAAUACGUAGGGUGCAAGCGUUAAUCGGAAUUACUGGGCGUAAAGCGUGCGCAGGCGGUUUUGUAAGACAUGCGUGAAAUCCCCGGACUCAACCUGGGAAUUGCGCUUGGGACUGCAAGGCUGGAGUGCGGCAGAGGGGGAUGGAAUUCCGCGUGUAGCAGUGAAAUGCGUAGAUAUGCGGAGGAACACCGAUUGCGAAGGCAGGUGGCUGUACCUUAAUCGACGCUGAUGCACGAAAGCAUGGGGAGCAAACAGGAUUAGAUACCCUGGUAGUCC
rnacentral:rRNA from 1 species